AGCCUUCUGAAUCUGCGUCGAGAUUUCGUCAGUUACCAACUCACUAGCACUGAUGAGACUUCCAGGAUGAGUGAAGUG
rfam:Schistosoma margrebowiei strain Zambia genome assembly, scaffold: SMRZ_scaffold0003676